UACGUAGGGUGCGAGCGUUAAUCGGAAUUACUGGGCGUAAAGCGUGCGCAGGCGGUUUUGUAAGCCAGAUGUGAAAUCCCCGGGCUUAACCUGGGAAUGGCAUUUGGGACUGCAAGGCUUGAGUGCGGCAGAGGAGACUGGAAUUCCUGGUGUAGCAGUGAAAUGCGUAGAUAUCAGGAGGAACACCAGUGGCGAAGGCGAGUCCCUGGACAACUUCUGACGCUGAGGCACGAAAGCUAGGGGAGCAAACAGG
rnacentral:rRNA from 1 species